rnacentral:rRNA from 1 species
ACUCCUACGGGAGGCAGCAGUGGGGAAUAUUGCACAAUGGGGAAACCCUGAUGCAGCCAUGCCGCGUGUGUGAAGAAGGCCUUCGGUUGUAAAGCACUUUCAGUAGGGAGGAAGGUAGUGUAGUUAACACCUGCAUUAUUUGACGUUACCUACAGAAGAAGCACCGGCUAACUCCGUGCCAGCAGCCGCGGUAAUACGGAGGGGUGCGAGCGUUAAUCGGAAUUACUGGGCGUAAAGCGCAUGCAGGCGGCCUGUUAAGUCAGAUGUGAAAGCCCGGGGGCUUAACCUCGGAAUUGCAUUUGAAACUGGCAGGCUAGAGUCUUGUAGAGGGGGUAGAAUUUCAGGUGUAGCGGUGAAAUGCGUAGAGAUCUGAAGGAAUACCAGUGGCGAAGGCGGCCCCCUGGACAAAGACUGACGCUCAGAUGCGAAAGCGUGGGGAGCAAACAGGAUUAGAUACCCUGGUAGCACAGAG